rnacentral:rRNA from 1 species
GACGAACGCUGGCGGCGUGCUUAACACAUGCAAGUCGAACGGUGAAGCGCCUUCCUUUUUGGUGGGUGUGGAUGAGUGGCGAACGGGUGAGUAACACGUGAGUAACCUGCCCCCUUCUUCUGGAUAACCGCAUGAAAGUGUGGCUAAUACGGGAUAUUCUGGGUCUGUCGCAUGAUGGGUCUGGGAUAGAUAUUGUUUCGGUAGGGGAUGGGCUCGCGGCCUAUCAGCUUGUUGGUGGGGUGAUGGCCUACCAAGGCGGUGACGGGUAGCCGGCCUGAGAGGGUGGACGGUCACACUGGGACUGAGACACGGCCCAGACUCCUACGGGAGGCAGCAGUGGGGAAUAUUGCACAAUGGGCGCAAGCCUGAUGCAGCGACGCCGCGUGAGGGAUGGAGGCCUUCGGGUUGUGAACCUCUUUCGCCAGUGAAGCAGGCCUGCCUCGUUUGUGGGUGGGUUGACGGUAGCUGGAUAAGAAGCGCCGGCUAACUACGUG